GGCCCACGCUCUGCGCCCCCGGCGAAGGGGCUGCCGGCGGCCCGGGCGGCUCCGGCUCUCGCCUCGCUGCAGACGAGGAGCCCGGGAGACCGGGAUACCGGAGAGCAAGCGACUGGGGCAAAUAAAUGGGAGUGGGUCAGGAAGAGAAGGCAGAGCGUCCCUCCAGCUGAACUCUUUGAGAUUGGCCAGAUUCAACGUGUUACAAACAAACAUAUUCCACCUGUUACAACAAUCUGGCAUAUUACUUCCUUGAUACGUGAUGAUACAAUACCUCUCAGGUUUGCUGAGUAGCAAAGAGAAAUGGACAGUGACUUCUUCUGCCUGGAUGGACAACUGGUGAAAUUGCUUCAGUAUGAAUCAUCAGAACAGAUAAAUCAGUGCCCACACUGUGAUCUUUUUAGUCAUCAGCAAAACUUCUUCAGUUUAAUUUAGUAAUUUUCUAAUUCCAGCUCACUUGAGACCAUUUAUAUUUUUUCUUUGUGGUUCUUAAACCUAUCUGCAUGGGAGUGGCAGCUUAGACAUGCCCUGAAGGAUUUACCCCAGUAUUUUUUUGUAACCAUUGAUUAGUGCUGCAAACCAGUGCUCAGGUUUGUGUUGUACUUGAACUCACCCUGUCCUUUCAGCACCUCUUACUAAUCAGCUCAUUCUCUUCUGAUUCUCAAUGAACUCUACCCUUGAUGUUCUGUGCUUGGCUAGACAUUUUAAGUGUGGGUUUAGCCUUAGCAAACUAAACCAUCUUUUUAUCUUCCCUCUUCUGCUACAGUCUUUCCUGUAAACUUUUGGUCAACAUAAGAGAAUUUUUCAAAGGACUGGAGAUCACAAUAUUCAUGCAGGCUUUUUGAACAUAAACACCUGUGUGAGAAGGAAAAGAAUAAAAAUCAGAGAUGCAGCAAGGAAAAGACUAGAGUAGGUCAUUGCAUGUUUGGCCAUUCAGUAAACAUGCAGCACAGCCUGUCACAACACUGUUGCUGUCUUUCAUAUCAGUAGUAAAAAUAUGUAGGAAGAAUCUGGGAGUAAUUUUUAUUUGUUGCUUCUGUCUUAAACUGGGUGUAAAAUUGGUCCUAACUCACAAUCUCUCCCAGAACAGAUAGGAGGGGAGAAACCUCAGACUAAAUUUCAGCACACAGACUGAACUGAUACCCAAGUCCUGGGGGAUGGGUUCUGGGCUCUGACUUUUUUCUCCGUAUUUCCUAUUUAAUAGCAAUUUUCUCUUUUUUUCACUAACGUAAAUCCAAUUCAGAUUUGUCUGCAGCCGGUCUGCCUGCCAAGUGUGGGCUUAGGGUUUCACAUGGCAGCCCCUUGCCAUGUUGGGUACUUUGUGAUGCCAUUGUGAGGCUUUAAGUGGU